rnacentral:rRNA from 1 species
GCCUAAUACAUGCAAGUCGAGCGAACAGAUAAGGAGCUUGCUCCUUUGACGUUAGCGGCGGACGGGUGAGUAACACGUGGAUAACCUACCUAUAAGACUGGGAUAACUUCGGGAAACCGGAGCUAAUACCGGAUAACAUAUUGAACCGCAUGGUUCAAUAGUGAAAGGCGGCUUUGCUGUCACUUAUAGAUGGAUCCGCGCCGUAUUAGCUAGUUGGUAAGGUGACGGCUUACCAAGGCAACGAUACGUAGCCGACCUGAGAGGGUGAUCGGCCACACUGGAACUGAGACACGGUCCAGACUCCUACGGGAGGCAGCAGUAGGGAAUCUUCCGCAAUGGGCGAAAGCCUGACGGAGCAACGCCGCGUGAGUGAUGAAGGUCUUCGGAUCGUAAAACUCUGUUAUCAGGGAAGAACAAAUGUGUAAGUAACUGUGCACAUCUUGACGGUACCUGAUCAGAAAGCCACGGCUAACUACGUGCCAGCAGCCGCGGUAAUACGUAGGUGGCAAGCGUUAUCCGGAAUUAUUGGGCGUAAAGCGCGCGUAGGCGGUUUUUUAAGUCUGAUGUGAAAGCCCACGGCUCAACCGUGGAGGGUCAUUGGAAACUGGAAAACUUGAGUGCAGAAGAGGAAAGUGGAAUUCCAUGUGUAGCGGUGAAAUGCGCAGAGAUAUGGAGGAACACCAGUGGCGAAGGCGACUUUCUGGUCUGUAACUGACGCUGAUGUGCGAAAGCGUGGGGAUCAAACAGGAUUAGAUACCCUGGUAGUCCACGCCGUAAACGAUGAGUGCUAAGUGUUAGG